CUGAGUGUGAAAAUGGACUCAUCGUGUCUUUUAGAUCUCCAGUCUUGACCCUACAAAUGUCCCGCCCUGUCUUUCCAGACAAAAAGUCUUCCCUUUUUGGGUCUGUGUAAAACUUCUGGGUGGUCCAUUGAUGAGCACUUACACUUUGGCCUCCGGGCAUACACGGCGCUUACAGCAUUCGAUGUUUGACCCUAAACAAAUGUGUCGCAGACAGUUGCAGGGAACAACAAGAUCUGUUUGUGUUGAUAGCAGGACGGGACUCCAGUUUCCCAUGGCAGAGAUGUACACAUGAGAACAGCUGCAUUCCAAAUAAUGAGGUCUGUGUGGUAUGGGUCAGGAAGCACAUGAAAGGUGGCAGGAAAACAGAUAUGCAGAUUGGCUGGUGACCAGUUCAGGGUGUGCCUCACCUCUCGCCUGAAGAUAGCUGGCUCCAGCACGCCAGUACAGAAAUUGAAUGAAUGGUAAGUCUUUGGCUUUGUGAGUAAAAACUAAUAUCAGGUGAGUGUACUAAAACUACUGUCUCCAACUCUUAAUCCUAUGGGUUGUUUUCACUUAUGUUACAUUUUUUGCUGAACCACUGCGCGCCACCAUUUAACCUCUCAACCUAACGUGUACCCAGUGUGGAUGUCUACGGAAUAUUCUCAAUUACUGUUUGUGUUUUUGUGUUUCACGGGCGUCUCUGGAGUCAAGUACACAAGAGAGGACUUGCUAACCAUCAGAGAGCCUUCUUCUGACUUUUUUUCGACAACUCACGCCAAUUUGCUGAAGCUUUUUCCAGAGUUACUAGUCGGCGCGCUAGCAAGCCUCGCGAUCUGGUACACAAGUCCGGCUGCGUAAGCGGGGACAUCGUCAAACGCUUUCCGACGGAAGACUUUGGAGGUUCUGCGGCUCUGUGCUUCACAGAGACUUGGCUUGUGGACGAUUAAGAUCGUUUUUUUGUUAGUCACUUGAAAGAUUCGAGAAUUUUGUGAAAUACUGGAUUUGUUCAUUCUUUAGUCUUUCUGCCACUGUCAUCGAAUUUUAAACAAAUAAUAAACAUUUCGCUUUGCUUGUGGUGAACUAAUAUACAGGUUUUUACUUUUUGAAAAAAAAAUUAAAUAAAUGGAGUUUGCCUCGAUAUUAAAAAAUAA